rnacentral:rRNA from 1 species
AAGGCGAUCAGAUACCGCCCUAGUUUUGACCAUAAACGAUGCCAGCCAGCGAUCCGGCUGUGUUCCUCAAAUGACACGCCGGGCAGCUUCCGGGAAACCAAAGCUUUUGGGUUCCGGGGGAAGUAUGGUUGCAAAGCUGAAACUUAAAGGAAUUGACGGAAGGGCACACCAGAAAUGGAUCCUGCGGCUUAAUUUGACUCAACACGGGACAACUCACCUGGCCCGGACACAGGAAGGAUUGACAGAUUAAGAGCUCUUUCUUGAUUCUGUGGAUGGUGGUGCAUGGCCGUUCUUAGUUGGUGGAGCGAUUUGUCUGGUUAAUUCCGAUAACGAACGAGGCUCUAGCCUACUAAAUAGACGUUCCGAUCCUCUUCGUCGGACGUUCUUCUUAGAGGGACAAGCGGCGUUUAGCCGCACGAGACAGAGCAAUAACAGGUCUGAGAUGCCCUUAGAUGUCCGGGGCCGCACGCGCGCUACAUUGAAGGAAUCAGCGUGUGCUCACCCUGUCCGACAGGACUGGGUAACCCGUUGAACCUCCUUCGUGCUGGGGAUAGGGGCUUGUAAUUAUUCCCCUUGAACGAGGAAUUUCUAGUAAGCACGAGUCAUUAGCUCGUGAUGAUUACGUCCCUGCCCUUUGUACACACCGCCCGUCGCUACUACCGAUUGAAUGAUUUAGUGAGGUCAUCGGACUGGCGGUCGGAGCGGCCAUCGGUCGCGCCGGCGUGCCGGAAAGAUAACCAAACUUGAUCAUU